CCUGGUCCCUGCAACCUGUGACUAUGUUAUGUCACACGAGAAGGGAGAAUGAAGGUUGUUAAUUGAUUGACCUUGAGGUGGGAGACUAUCCUGGAUUACCCAAGUAGCCCCUGGAAUCUCAAAGGUCCCUAAAUGAGCCAAGAAGAAGGUGGGAGAGUCAGAACCAGAGAGACGGCAGCAUGAAAAGCACUCAGUUGUGGAUAGCUUUUGCGAUGGAAAGGGUCCGCGAGCCAGGGAAUGCAGGCUGCCGCUGGACGUGGGAAAAGGCAACAUAUGGAUCCUCCCCCUAGAGCUUCCGGAAGAAACGCACGCCUGCCGACUCUGAUUUUAGCCCAAGGAGACCCAUUUGGAGUCCUGACCUCUGGAACCGGUCAAAGGCAGAGCCCCAAGGACGGCCGGCCAUAACUCUGACCUCAUCUGGGCGCUGGGAGGCCGAAUUUUCUCUAUUCUUAACAGAAGCCCGAAUACAGUCAUGGGCCGUAUAACAACACGGCAGUCAUCACAGGACCACACAUCUGACCGCCAUCCCACCCCAGGAAUGUGAUCUCAGGAGACACAGUGGUGCAGUGGGAAAGUCACCGGCCUGGGAGUCGGUCAGCAGUCACCCUCCUCCUCACCCUCCCG